UUGUGGUUUGUGGUUUUAGUGUACACCAAUGCAGUGUAUUUCUGAAUUUACCAAAAUGUGCGUCAUCCGGGGGGCCUGCAUGGUUUCAUGCAUUCCUGUUAUCCACUGCACAAGAAGCCGAUGAGGAAGUGAAAGAAUUGAUCUGCUGCCCUUUGAAAACAACAGGAUGACAGAGUCCGGUUUGUACUUACUGUCAAACGUACUGGUAGUAGAUGUAACAUUAAGCUCUUCACUUUACAGAAGAACUAAAAGUGGAAUCAUGAGCUCUGAAUGUGGGAUAUUAUCACUCAUCAUCCUGCUGUGUGUUUCAGGUUGUCUGGGUGAGAGUAUCAGUGUGUCCUGCAGUUCUCAGACUGUCUGUGCUCUGCGGGAGUCAGUGGUGAAGCUAAAAUGCAUUUACUCAAACAUCACCA